rnacentral:rRNA from 1 species
CUUUACUACAACUCUAUAGUGCUAGUAUAAAUGACAUGUGUAGAAUAUGUGGGAGUUUAAAAGAUUUAGAUGCUAGUCUAAAUUCUAAACAAAAAUGAAAUACCACACUUGAAUUUUGUAGUAGCUAACGAUAUUAUAUCGGACCCUGUAAAGUGGGUAGUUUGACUGGGGCGGUCUCCUCCCAAAAAGUAACGGAGGAGUGCGAAGGUAAGCUCAAGCUGGUCGGAAAUCAGCUGUUGAGUGUAAUGGCAUAAGCUUGCUUGACUGUAAGACAAACAAGUCGAACAGAGACGAAAGUCGGUCAUAGUGAUCCGGUGACCCUGUGUGGAAAGGUCAUCGCUCAACGGAUAAAAGGUA